GAUUCAAGUGAUGAGAUUGGAUCUAAAAUUAUCACAACGGUUGUCUGAUUCUAAUGAUGCACCGGUCCUUAUAUAUACUCUGAUGAUA
rnacentral:snoRNA from 1 species